rnacentral:lncRNA from 1 species
UGAGAUUUUAGUGGUCCAAUGUUUUCUCAAUUACGCUUCUCAAAUGAGCUUUAUAUCUCUGCUUUCUACAGAUAGACAUUUUUCUCAAAGAUAUUUCUAGAAAACAACAAUAGGAGAGGAGGUGUAGGUGGUUUGGAGUUAAGAUGAAGGUAGAAUCAGUAGGUCCAAGAUGAAGGGUCAAGGGGAUAACAUUGGUAUAUUGAGAUUGAUGGCUAUCUGUUUUACACACAAAUUUUGAGAUUUGUUUUGAGGGUUUUGAUUGGUAAGUUGAUUCUUUCUUUUCUUUUCUCUUGUGCUACAACUUAUGGGUUAUUUGAGCAUAUUACAAUUUUUUUAUUAUUUUUUUUAUUAUUAUUUUUUUUUUGUUAAAGAUUUUUGUUUUUUUGUUGUUAAAGAUUUUUGGGACUCUUUGUAGAAUUCUAUUUUGUUGGUUCUUGAUAGAUAAAUAGAUAUUGUAUUUUUUUUUUUUAGAGUUUUAUUUCUCUAUACAUACUUGUGUAUGAUCAGAUUGCUUUGUUUUCCUAUUUUAUUUUAUUUGGAUUUGUGUGUGCGUGUGGCUAUAUGCUUAUUUUGACUGUUAGGAAGGGGAGGAAGGAGGGAGAAACAGAGAAAGAGGGAAAGAAGGAGAGGAAAAACGUGGCCACAAACCAAACGUAAUUUAACUCAUUCAUCGAAACUGUCUUGCAAUUCCAGUUACCAACAUAUAAAUAACAAAAUAAACCUAAUAUUCACGGGCUUGGGCUAGACCCACUAGACAAGCCCAAUAAAAUAAAAAGACAUCAAUAAAUAAAACAAUACGUAAAUUAAUUUGGGCCGAUGUCUAGGGGCAAAGUCUCACUCAAGUGGAUUGUGAUUCUGUGCAUUUUCAGCUUUGUACUUGGCACACUUUUUAGCAACAUGUUCUUUACUUUUUUUUCCUUCAAUUUUUUAUUUAUCUUAUGUUUUUUCUUCGUAUUUCACAGCUUCAGGAAGAAUCUUUGUUUUCAACUUCUUCAAUUCAAUUGAAGAAUUGUGUGGUUAUUGUGACUUCAGAAGAACUUUCUCCCUCAUUGAAGAAAUAACUUGUUGAUGUUGAUUAGUUAUAUCGACUUAUUUAUCAAGUUGAAUUGGAUAUUCUUUAAGCAUAUUAUGAUGUUAUAAGUAAUGUAAAUUACCUAGAUUACUCUCAUCCUCUUGUGAUCGAUUCCCAUGCUUUAACAAGAGAUAGUUGUUCUAUGAUGUGAAUAACUUAGCUUGAAACGGCUUUUCUAUGUCUGGUUCUAUUUACCUUUUACUUCCAUAGUUGUUUCUUUCCUCAAUAACCUAUUAUUAAUAUAACGAGAACUUCUAAAAUUGGAAGGAAAGUAUUAUGCAGAUUUAUUUAUUUGCUUAUUUAUUUUUUAUGUUUUCCUUGAUUAUCUUAUUCCUUGAAUGAGACAA